rnacentral:piRNA from 1 species
UGAUGUGCCUAAGCCACCCGUGCCAG